UGAACUCGAAACCUUAACUAUCUAAGCUAGUACAACAAGCGGUAAGUCGAAUUUUCUGUUUUGGAUGAAUUGUAGAAAGCGUUAAGGAAGAAAGUUCGAGUCAAGUGAAGCAACAAGGGGAUCAAGACCGAGGUAAAUCUCAUGUCUAGCUAUCAAGCUUUGCCCGGUUCGAACACGCCUCAAGCCCGUCAAGCGUUCCGCAUUUUGUAAAAGUCAAUGUUUAAUACUUUGUC
rnacentral:lncRNA from 1 species